CUCCGGUUGAUCCCGCCGGACCUGACUGCUAUCGGAUUGGUACUAAGCCAUGCGAGUCGUUGUAGCAAUACAAGGCGGACGGCUCAGUAACACGUAGUCAACCUAACCUAUGGACGUGGAUAACCUCGGGAAACUGAGAAUAAACCGCGAUAGAUCAUUAUGCCUGGAAUGGCUUAUGGUUCAAACAAUUUAUUGCCGUAGGAUGGGACUGCGGCCUAUCAGCUUGUUGGUGAGGUAAUGGCCCACCAAGGCUAUAACAGGUACGGGCUCUGAGAGGAGAAGCCCGGAGAUGGGUACUGAGACACGGACCCAGGCCCUAUGGGGCGCAGCAGGCGAGAAACCUUAGCAAUGUGCGAAAGCACGACUAGGUUAAUCCGAGUGAUUUCUGUUGAAGAAAUCUUUUGUCAGUCAUAAAACCACAGACGAAUAAGGGGUGGGCAAGUCUGGUGUCAGCCGCCGCGGUAAUACCAGCACCUCGAGUGGUCAGGAGGUUUAUUGGGCCUAAAGCAUCCGUAGCCGGCUACGCAAGUCUCCGGUUAAAUCCAGCUGCUCAACAGAUGGGCUGCCGGAGAUACUACAUAGCUAGGGAGCGGGAGAGGUAGACGGUAUUCUGUGGGUAGGGGUAAAAUCCACUGAUCCAUAGAGGACCACCAGUGGCGAAGGCGGUCUACCAGAACGCGUUCGACGGUGAGGGAUGAAAGCUGGGGGAGCAAACCGGAUUAGAUACCCGGGUAGUCCCAGCUGUAAACGAUGCAAACUCGGUGAUGCAUUGGCUUAUGGCCAAUGCAGUGCCGCAGGGAAGCCGUUAAGUUUGCCGCCUGGGAAGUACGGACGCAAGUCUGAAACUUAAAGGAAUUGGCGGGGGAGCA
rnacentral:rRNA from 1 species